UGACUCGUUCAUACUACAGUGGCCACACCAGAUCCCAUCAGAACUCUGAAGUUAAGCACUGUAAGGCUUUGCUAGUACUGAGGUGGGAGACCGCUCGGGAACACCAGGUGAUGAGUCAU
rnacentral:rRNA from 1 species